GGGAGCGGAUGGUGACUGGUGUCGCCUGCGGUCUUCAAAACCGUUACGGGGCGUUCGCGCGCCCCGGGUGGGUUCGAUUCCCACACGUUCCCGCCA
rnacentral:tRNA from 1 species